rnacentral:rRNA from 1 species
CCUACGGGUGGCAGCAGUGAGGAAUAUUGGUCAAUGGACGAGAGUCUGAACCAGCCAAGUCGCGUGAAGGAUGACUGCCCUAUGGGUUGUAAACUUCUUUUAUAUGGGAAUAAAAUGUUCCACGUGUGGGAUUUUGUAUGUACCUUAUGAAUCAGGCUCGGCUAACUCCGUCACCGCAGCCGCGGUAAUACGGAGGAUCCGAGCGUUAUCCGGAUUUAUUGGGGUUAAAGGGAGCGUAUGUGGAUUGUUAAGUCAGUUGUGAAAGUUUGCGGCUCAACCGUAAAAUUGCAGUUGAAACUGGCAGUCGUGAGUACAGUAGAGGUGGGCGGAAUUCGUGGUGUAGCGGUGAAAUGCUUAGAUAUCACGAAGAACUCCGAUUGCGAAGGCAGUUCACUGGACUGCAACUGACACUGAGGCUCGAAAGUGUGGGUAUCAAACAGGAUUAGAUACCCCAGUAGUC